rnacentral:rRNA from 1 species
GACGAGGGAUCCUAGCGUUGUUCGGAAUCAUUGGGCGUAAAGCGGGUGUAGGCGGGCCUAUAAGUCAGGUGUGAAAUCCCAGGGCUCAACCCUGGAAGUGCGUUUGAUACUGCAAGUCUUGAAUGUGGUAGAGGUUACUAGAAUUCCUGGUGUAGUGGUGAAAUACGUAGAUAUCAGGAGGAAUACCAGAGGCGAAGGCGGGUAACUGGGCCAACAUUGACGCUGAGAUCCGAAAGUGUGGGGAUCAAACAGG